UACGUAGGGUGCAAGCGUUGUCCGGAAUUAUUGGGCGUAAAGAGCUCGUAGGCGGUUCGUCGCGUCGGCUGUGAAAACCCGGAGCUCAACUCCGGGCCUGCAGUCGAUACGGGCGGACUUGAGUGUUACAGGGGAGACUGGAAUUCCUGGUGUAGCGGUGAAAUGCGCAGAUAUCAGGAGGAACACCGGUGGCGAAGGCGGGUCUCUGGGCAACUACUGACGCUGAGGAGCGAAAGCGUGGGGAGCGAACAGG
rnacentral:rRNA from 1 species